GUGUCAGCAGCCGCGGUAAUACGUAGGGUGCAAGCGUUAAUCGGAAUUACUGGGCGUAAAGCGUGCGCAGGCGGUUAUGCAAGACAGAGGUGAAAUCCCCGGGCUCAACCUGGGAACUGCCUUUGUGACUGCAUGGCUAGAGUACGGUAGAGGGGGAUGGAAUUCCGCGUGUAGCAGUGAAAUGCGUAGAUAUGCGGAGGAACACCGAUGGCGAAGGCAAUCCCCUGGACCUGUACUGACGCUCAUGCACGAAAGCGUGGGGAGCAAACAGGAUUAGAUACCCUGGUAGUCCACGCCCUAAACGAUGUCAACUGGUUGUUGGGAGGGUUUCUUCUCAGUAACGUAGCUAACGCGUGAAGUUGACCGCCUGGGGAGUACGGCCGCAAGGUUGAA
rnacentral:rRNA from 1 species